CUUGAGAAGAUCGAUGAGAAUCUGGGGAAGUCAGUUGUAAGCUCCUGUUUAGAGGAGCUAAAUCCAUUUUAUACAAGAUUUGAAAAAGAGUUUUCACAGCACACUGUCUCUCUGUUGACCUCUGACCUGUUGGACUGCUGUCUUUGGGUAGAAUAUCACAUCUCCUACAUCAACAGUUUCAGUUCACUCAAAGAGAAUUUGCAGUGCUAUAAAGAGAGCUGUUCAGCUCAGGUGGAGAAGUUGGAAAAAGAAGUGGAUGGACUGACUCAGAGACUCAGACAGACCCUGAUGGAUCAUUUCAAAUCUGAGGUCAAGCCUUACAUGGAUGGCAUGAUGACAAAAAAAUGGCUGAAAACAGAUGAAGAUUUUAAAGAAGUGAUUUCUAGAUUAGAUAAUUAUUCUGGGCUCUGUAAAUCCAUGAGAGCUCCAUCAGUCCAAGUGAGUCUCCACUGAUCUGCUCAGAGAUGCUUUUUAAUAGCAGCUGCAGAGAGCCACUUUAAACACAGUGUCUAUGUUUACAGAUUUUUGUGAAUGAUAUGCACUAUUAUGUAGCCAAAGAAUAUGUCUCCCAGCUGAUGAAGAAAAAAUAUUCAUGCAAAAAACCCAAAAACGAAGAUGCUGCCAUAAAAUUGAAAGAACAGUGGAAUGAACUCAGGAAACUAUUUAUGCAAAUGGUAAGAUACAGUCCAGUAUCAAACAGUGUGAAAUAUACAACAGUUUUUUUUUCAAGGUAGAUGCACUGAAAACAUUAUUCUGUAUUUAGGGAUCAUCCUUAAAGUGGCUUUAUCCAUUGGGAAAUUACCUUAGUGACAUUAUUGGAAUGGAUAAUGAGAAAAAUAUAAAAGAUCUGUUACAUCCAUUGGUUAGUAAUUACCCAGACAUAAGGUAAGUGUUAUAAUAACUUU
rnacentral:lncRNA from 1 species